GACGAACGCUGGCGGCGUGCUUAACACAUGCAAGUCGAACGAUGAAGCCGGAGCUUGCUCUGGUGAAUUAGUGGCGAACGGGUGAGUAACACGUGAGUAACCUGCCCUUGACUCUGGGAUAACUGCUAGAAAUGGUAGCUAAUACCGGAUACGACCCUCGGCGGCAUCGCCAGGGGGUGGAAAGAAUUUCGGUCAAGGAUGGACUCGCGGCCUAUCAGCUAGUUGGUGAGGUAACGGCUCACCAAGGCGACGACGGGUAGCCGGCCUGAGAGGGUGACCGGCCACACUGGGACUGAGACACGGCCCAGACUCCUACGGGAGGCAGCAGUGGGGAAUAUUGCACAAUGGGCGCAAGCCUGGUGCAGCAACGCCGCGUGAGGGAUGACGGCCUUCGGGUUGUAAACCUCUUUUAGUAGGGAUGAAGCGAAAGUGACGGUACCUGCAGAAAAAGCACCGGCUAACUACGUGCCAGCAGCCGCAGUAA
rnacentral:rRNA from 1 species